GACGAACGCUGGCGGCGUGCCUAAUACAUGCAAGUAGAACGCUGAAGAGAGGAGCUUGCUCUUCUUGGAUGAGUUGCGAACGGGUGAGUAACGCGUAGGUAACCUCCCUUGUAGCGGGGGAUAACUAUUGGAAACGAUAGCUAAUACCGCAUAACAAUGGAUGACCCAUGUCAUUUAUUUGAAAGGGGCAAAUGCUCCACUACAAGAUGGACCUGCGUUGUAUUAGCUAGUAGGUGAGGUAACGGCUCACCUAGGCGACGAUACAUAGCCGACCUGAGAGGGUGAUCCGCCACACUGGGACGGAGACACGGCCCAGACUCCUACGGGAGGCAGCAGUAGGGAAUCUUCGGCAAUGGGGGCAACCCUGACCGAGCAACGCCGCGUGAGUGAAGAAGGUUUUCGGAUCGUAAAGCUCUGUUGUAAGUCAAGAACGAGUGUGAGAGUGGAAAGUUCACACUGUGACGGUAGCUUACCAGAAAGGGACGGCUAACUACGUG
rnacentral:rRNA from 1 species